rnacentral:rRNA from 1 species
GACGAACGCUGGCGGCGUGCCUAACACAUGCAAGUCGAGCGACGAACCGGGGCUUUCCCCGGGCCAGCGCCGCGAACGGGUGAGUAACACGUAGGUGGCCUACCCCGAUGACUGGGACAACCCAUCGAAAGACGGGCUAAUACCGGCUGUGCCCCUUGGGGGACAGGAAGCUUCAGCCUCCGCAUCGGGAUGUGCCCGCGGCGCAUUAGCUUGUUGGUGCGGUAACGGCUUACCAAGGCGACGAUGCGUAGCAGGGCUGAGAGGACGAUCGGCCACACUGGGACUGAGACACGGCCCAGACUCCUACGGGAGGCAGCAGUAGGGAAUCUUGCACAAUGGGCGAAAGCGUGACGGAGCAACGCCGCGUGCGGGAAGAAGGUCUUCGGGUUGUAAAACGCUGUCAGUUGGGAAGAGGAUACGUGCAAGAAUAGCGGCACGGAUUGACGGUACCUAAAGAAGAAGCGACGGCUAACUACGUG